rnacentral:rRNA from 1 species
GUGGGGAAUUUUGGACAAUGGGCGCAAGCCUGAUCCAGCCAUGCCGCGUGCAGGAUGAAGGCCUUCGGGUUGUAAACUGCUUUUGUACGGAACGAAAAGACUUCUUCUAAUACAGGAGGUCCAUGACGGUACCGUAAGAAUAAGCACCGGCUAACUACGUGCCAGCAGCCGCGGUAAUACGUAGGGUGCAAGCGUUAAUCGGAAUUACUGGGCGUAAAGCGUGCGCAGGCGGUUAUAUAAGACAGAUGUGAAAUCCCCGGGCUCAACCUGGGAACUGCAUUUGUGACUGUAUAGCUAGAGUACGGUAGAGGGGGAUGGAAUUCCGCGUGUAGCAGUGAAAUGCGUAGAUAUGCGGAGGAACACCGAUGGCGAAGGCAAUCCCCUGGACCUGUACUGACGCUCAUGCACGAAAGCGUGGGGAGCAAACAGGAUUAGAUACCCGUGUAGUCC